UACAGAGGUGGCAAGCGUUGUUCGGAAUUACUGGGCGUAAAGGGCGCGUAGGCGGUUCGUUAAGUCCUGUGUGAAAUCCCCCGGCUCAACUGGGGAACUGCACAGGAAACUAGCGGGCUUGAGUUCGGGAGAGGGAAGCGGAAUUCCGGGUGUAGCGGUGAAAUGCGUAGAUAUCAGGAAGAACACCAAUGGCGAAGGCAGCUCUCUGGGACGGUACUGACACUGAGACGCGAAAGCGUGGGGGAGCGAACAAGG
rnacentral:rRNA from 1 species